rnacentral:lncRNA from 1 species
CUAAAACUCAACAUCUCUUUGUACAAUUCUUCUGCUAAGAUGUUCUUCCUCUAAAUCGAUGUCACCCAUCUAGGCCAUGAUUUGCAACUUCCAACAAAAGCUUGCUCGCAUCUCGACUCUAAGCACUCACUCACGUAGUCGAAUAAAACCUUCCUAUCAAGCUUAGAGUACUCUUCUCCUCAGUAUGUUGUUGUUCCAGUACUGUGAUUCUCCAACAGAUCGAAGAGAUUUGGCAUUAUGAUUGUGUUAGUUCGACCCAUGAGGAAUUCUUCUGCCAUGAACUCUGCAUUGCCGAGUAUGUUCUGUACAUAGUCAAGUUCCAUAAUGCCUGAUCUUUUAAAAUCUACCAUGUUCGGUGAUCUGAUUAUUUGUGUGACAGACAUGUUACGUGCAGUAGAUACGGAAGAGCUUUGCUCUAACGACGUCGCUUCAUUUUCAAGUGAUUCAGAUCCGUUUAUCUGGGAAAUGUUAGAUACUUCCUCAUCUUGCAUGGAUGAAUAAAUCGUGCUGCCAUAUGUACUAUCUUCACUAUCCAUGUAACUUUCACUAACAGAAGGACCUUGAAAGUUUGUAUCAGCAUUGGAAUACUGAAAACCAAGACCAUUUCCACUUUCAUCGUUGCUACUAUAGCUAGGAUCUUCUCUUACUUCCGAUGUCUGUAGUUGUUGAUUCGUGUUAAGCACUAGCUCGUCAAUUGAAUAAUAUCGAUAGUUAUGCAUUCUAUCAAGUUCAUCACUGAACAUUUCAUCUUGUUCCUUAUCUAUGGUGUUUACGAUACUGGAUGCUUUAUCUUACAAACUAGAUCUCAAAUCAGUAGAUGGCUCCUCCGAGGCUAGGGUACAUUGAGGUAAGUUAAGUCUCGGUGUUAAUUCUUGAAGCUUUUACUCCAACAGAACACUCAAUGUAUCACUAUCUAUCAUAUGUGUCGGAGAUAGUGAUAAUUUUUUGGGAUGAAGAUUAUCAUUGUGCCCGAGAGAGUCGACACCAGAUCUAGUUCUGGUUUUCGUCACCUAGUCAGAGGAUAGUGACUCCGGCAUGCUUUUCCUCAAGGGAGAUGUAAAUGUAAAUGAAAUAACAUCACUGCUUUCGUUCAUGUUAAAUGCAUUCUGAUCAAUACUUCCAUCAGUCGUAUAAUUGCAUUUUAUGGACUUGCUUUCGAAAUCGCUUUUUGCAUGAUCGGGACUUCUUGCCUCGUGAAAACCUUCGUUGUUAUACUUUUUCUCUUGGGAAAUACUUUGUGUUUUGGAUGGAGGAAACUCCUUUCGGUUAUCAGUUACCCUAGAGCCUGACCUUUUAGGAGGAAUAUUGACAUUCGUAGCACUCUUGUUUGUUGCCUUCCUAAUUCCGGUAGAACUUUCAGAAGAAGAACCUCGCGUUGUUGGCUUGUUUGAAUCUAUUUUUGAGGCUGAUUUACCUUUGGAAAUCAUGCCGUUUUGCUUUUGAUUAUUCUGAAUCAGCACAUUGCUGUUACGACUUGCAUUCGUUUUCUGCGGCAAUGCUCGGUUUAUAAUUGGUUUUUGGCUUUGAUAGUGACCAUUGUGAUUUGGUUUAAUUUUUGUAGGGCCACAGUUGUGUUUGCUGUAGUGACCAUGCCGCUGGACUAACCAGUUGUACCAGCAUUUGCCGUUUGAGUUUGGGUCUUUUCUCGGGAUAGAAACCAG